GCAACCAAAUGCUCGCCACUACUCUGCUUCACUAGCAUCUCUCUAGCCACCAUACUUAGUGCAGCUACUCUAACGCCUCUAAAGCUUAGGUAACAAAAUGGCUGCCGCUACUCUGCUUCACUAGUAACUGCCGAGUCACCAUACCUUAGUUUCGCUACUCUGAAAUGAAGCUUAUUCAUUGGUUUUAGCGGUGCCCAAAGGCCACGCCUGCAAGCGUGUAUAGCUGUGCAAGUUUUUAUUAAGCGACUUCUGGUCGCCAUGACACGGAUCCCUGGACACCUCCGGUGCAAGUUUGGUUUGCAUGGUUCAAUGAGGACAUAAACCAAUUUUCAGACUUUGUCCAAAUGAAUGUGGCAGUUACUCUUUAUCGCAAAGUACUUCUAUCUCUGAUAGUCAUACAAAUGGCCAAAAGAAAGUAGACAUUAUCCAAGAGGUUCAAAUGCUCGUGCCCAAAAAAGAUUAUGACGAAAUUGGCCGAAAAUUGGCCUAGCCAGCGCUCUGGUUAAUGAGGUGCUGUUACGAUUUUAUUCCAGGACAGCUCACCUCUCUCCCAGGUACCUGGGACCCCUAACCAAGCACCACUGCUGGAACCCUCAUCUGCUUCCCAGGAACCUGGGACCUCUAACCAAGCCCCACUGCUAUCUCAGGAAACUGAGUACUCCAGCACCCAGCCAGAUGACCCGGUGGACAACACAACG